UACAGAGGGUGCAAGCGUUAAUCGGAAUUACUGGGCGUAAAGCGUGCGUAGACGGUUACAUAAGUCGGGUGUGAAAGCCCCGGGCUCAACCUGGGAAUUGCAUUCGAGACUGCGUAGCUAGGGUGCGGAAGAGGGAAGCGGAAUUUCCGGUGUGAGCGGUGGAAAUGCGUAGAUAUCGGAAGGAACACCAGUGGCGAAAGCGGCUUCCUGGUCCAGCACCGACGUUCAGGCACGAAAGCGUGGGGAGCAAAC
rnacentral:rRNA from 1 species